GAACAGGUUCCACGCGGUUGUAUAUACAUAUAUAGAAGUACGCUUGGUUGACACCAGUCGCGCUUGUGUUGCAUGAUGACACACGUGUCUUUCGCGUAUGUACAGAUAGAUGGUGUUCCUUUCAUUUGCAUAUUUUCUUGCACGUAUACAUUUCAAUGAACGUCGAAUGUUUACCAUAUCUGUGUAUGUACUUGCUUUCUUUGGCUUAUUAGAAAAAAAUACACGCGAGGACUUUUCCCUUUUCGCCAAUGCAACAUGCAGACGUUGAUAUAUAGUUUGCUUGUAAAGGAUAGGUUAGUGUGCUUCGUCCUAUACCGAUACGUUUAACUCACGUUCAAACGCAUUUCCGUUUACCUGCGUUGGGGAUAUAUACCGACAUGUGAUUUCCAUCUGUGUAACGGUCCACGUAUACGAACGGAGACAUUUAUGUACCAUUCGUGAAACAGUCGUACGAACACGUUCUUCUAUCCGAUUAUAUGUACAAAAAUAAUAUUUCUUUGAUUAGUGUGUGUAUGAGCGGUGCUACAAAGAAGAACGGUUUCCUUUCAUUCGUGUAUCGAUUCUUAUACAUCGAUAUUUAUCCUGGCUAGCGUGCGUAAACGUUACACGAACACAUUUCAUCAUCUAUGCAUACAUGCAACGCUUCUUCGGCCAGUCGGGCCGAAGUCUUCACGCCUUCCCCGCUUUUGUGGGUCUUCUCCAUAAUGGAACAGGCGCGCAGGACAAAGGCAGGCACGGUCUCCUGUUUCUCCUGCUUCGGUAUAUCCACCAGGGUCCAGUAUUGAGUCUCCAACUUGAUCACAUCCUGAAAAAAGAAGAGGACCACACACAUCUAUAUAUUAUUAUUAAAAAAUAAUUUAUUAAAAAAUUGUUAAAAUUAGGCAAAAGUUAGUUUUAGAUUCAAACAUUGAAUUAGAUUAUGAGAAAUUGAAUACAGGCUUAAUAUAUGAAAAUGAAAUUUUAUAAUGAUUUUGAUGGAUUUUAUAAUGAAAUUUAGAUUUUAGAACUUUGGAUUAGUUUAGAAUGUUCGAUUAAUUGAAAUAAUUAAGGAAGUAUGUUGUGAUCAAUAGAGUUUUGUUCAAUACGAAUAUUUCUUAAAAAAGAAAA